rnacentral:rRNA from 1 species
GAUGAACGCUGGCGGCGUGCUUAACACAUGCAAGUCGAACGAAAAGGCUCCUGCUUGCAGGGGUACUCGAGUGGCGAACGGGUGAGUAACACGUGGGUGAUCUGCCCUGCACUUCGGGAUAAGCCUGGGAAACUGGGUCUAAUACCGGAUAGGACGAUGGUUUGGAUGCCAUUGUGGAAAGUUUUUCGGUGUGGGAUGAGCUCGCGGCCUAUCAGCUUGUUGGUGGGGUAAUGGCCUACCAAGGCGUCGACGGGUAGCCGGCCUGAGAGGGUGUACGGCCACAUUGGGACUGAGAUACGGCCCAGACUCCUACGGGAGGCAGCAGUGGGGAAUAUUGCACAAUGGGCGCAAGCCUGAUGCAGCGACGCCGCGUGGGGGAUGACGGCCUUCGGGUUGUAAACUCCUUUCGCUAGGGACGAAGCGCAAGUGACGGUACCUGGAGAAGAAGCACCGGCUAACUACGUG